AUGCUCACUGUGGCAGCACACAUACUAAAGUUGGAACAAGAGAUCAGCAUGGGCUUGUGCAAGGAAGACACACAAAUCCAUGAAGCAUCCCAUAUAUUU
ensembl:snRNA U6 U6 spliceosomal RNA